AGAUCACAGAGCUAAGAGGUCUCACCACUGCCCACAUUGAAGAGUAGCCGCUGGGGAUCCUAAUAAAAUACUACAUUGUACUGAAUGUAUCAGAUAGAGAUGAUGUGAUGA